rnacentral:lncRNA from 1 species
GAAAAUGGUGGUAAAGAUGGCAAUAGUGAUAAAGGAGACUCAGAGGACUCACUAUCGAUAGAAUUGAGCUCAGAUGAAAAUGAAUACAUCAACAUUAAAAAUGACGAUUUAUUCUUGAGCGGAGACGAUGAUGUGGCAGCACCAUGCCCUCCUAGUAUCAAAUCAGUGUCUAGCAAAGCAAUCAGUUUGAAAGCCAAUGACCCAAGAAGUUCAAGGCGUCAUUCAGGUUCAAAAGAAACUCUCUCCAAGAGAGGUCGAUCUCCAGGACCCUCAGGAUCAACAUCUGGUGUCAGGGACGAUCAUAGGAGAGUGGUUUUAGACCGUUCUAAAGAACCCUCAAGGCGAGAUACAGAGCGUACAAAAUCGGACGCAAACU